GACAGAGGGUGCAAACGUUGCUCGGAAUCACUGGGCGUAAAGGGCGUGUAGGCGGGAAGGAAAGUCAGAUGUGAAAUCCCUGGGCUCAACCCAGGAACUGCAUUUGAAACUCCCUUUCUUGAGUGUCGGAGAGGAAAGUGGAAUUCCUGGUGUAGAGGUGAAAUUCGUAGAUAUCAGGAGGAACACCGGUGGCGAAGGCAGCUUUCUGGACGACAACUGACGCUGAGACGCGAAAGCGUGGGGAGCAAACAGG
rnacentral:rRNA from 1 species